rnacentral:rRNA from 1 species
UACGGGGGGAGCAAGCGUUGUUCGGAUUUACUGGGCGUAAAGAGCUCGUAGGCGGUCUGUUGCGUCCGCUGUGAAAACUCGGGGCUUAACCCCGAGCCUGCAGUGGAUACGGGCAGACUAGAGGUAGGUAGGGGAGAAUGGAAUUCCCGGUGUAGCGGUGAAAUGCGCAGAUAUCGGGAGGAACACCAGUGGCGAAGGCGACUACCUGGCCUGUUCUUGACGCUGAGGCGCGAAAGCUAGGGGAGCAAACGGG